UACGUAGGGGGCAAGCGUUGUCCGGAAUCAUUGGGCGUAAAGAGCGUGUAGGCGGCCCGAUAAGUCCGCUGUGAAAGUCCAGGGCUCAACCCUGGGAUGCCGGUGGAUACUGUCGGGCUCGAGUCCGGAAGAGGAGUGUGGAAUUCCUGGUGUAGCGGUGAAAUGCGCAGAUAUCAGGAGGAACACCAAUGGCGAAGGCAGCACUCUGGGACGUGACUGACGCUGAGGAGCGAAAGCGUGGGGAGCGAACAGG
rnacentral:rRNA from 1 species